rnacentral:rRNA from 1 species
AGCCCUAAGUGGGUGGUAAACUCCAUCUAAGGCUAAAUAUGACCACGAGACCGAUAGCGAACAAGUACCGUGAGGGAAAGUUGAAAAGCACUUUGAAGAGAGAGUUCAAGAGUACGUGAAACCGUUUAGGGGUAAACCUGAGAAACCCGAAAGGUCGAAGGGAGAAAUUCAUUCGCGUUUCGUGGUUGGCGGCGGGAAGUCGAGUGACGGGAGCGCGUUCGCGCGUUCUCGCGCCUUCGUUUCGUCGAACCGGCUACGAACGCGUGCAAUUUUCUCCUGGUAGGACGUCGCGAUCCGUUGGGUGUCGGUCUACGGCUCGCGGUGGAGCCCGUCCGUCGUACUCACGUACGUGUACGGACGGACCCGUGUGUCCCGGCCGACUCGCUCGACGGUAUACGAAAGGUUUAAGGCCGCUCUCGAAGCGUUCGACUCGUCGCAAGCGCGUCAGAUGCAUGUCGGAUUUCGGACCUGGUGCCGAGUCUGACCUCUGAUGACUGUUGGCGACGAAGUUCUCGAACAGACCUUAGACCGAUCUGCGACGCUAUAGCUUUGGGUACUUUCAGGA